rnacentral:rRNA from 1 species
UACGAAGGGUGCAAACGUUGCUCGGAAUUAUUGGGCGUAAAGCGCACGUAGGCGGCAUAGCAAGUCGAAUGUGAAAUCCCUCGGCUUAACCAAGGAAGUGCAUCCGAAACUGCUGUGCUUGAGUACGAAAGAGGAUCGCGGAAUUCCCGGUGUAGAGGUGAAAUUCGUAGAUAUUGGGAAGAACACCGGUGGCGAAGGCGGCUCACUGGCUCGUUUCUGACGCUCAGGCGCGACAGCGUGGGGAUCAAACAGG